rnacentral:rRNA from 1 species
CGCUAGCUACAGCGCUUAACACAUGCAAGUCGAGGGGCAGCAUGGUCUUAGCUUGCUAAGGCCGAUGGCGACCGGCGCACGGGUGAGUAACACGUAUCCAACCUGCCGUCUACUCUUGGACAGCCUUCUGAAAGGAAGAUUAAUACAAGAUGGCAUCAUGAGUCCGCAUGUUCACAUGAUUAAAGGUAUUCCGGUAGACGAUGGGGAUGCGUUCCAUUAGAUAGUAGGCGGGGUAACGGCCCACCUAGUCUUCGAUGGAUAGGGGUUCUGAGAGGAAGGUCCCCCACAUUGGAACUGAGACACGGUCCAAACUCCUACGGGAGGCAGCAGUGAGGAAUAUUGGUCAAUGGGCGAGAGCCUGAACCAGCCAAGUAGCGUGAAGGAUGACUGCCCUAUGGGUUGUAAACUUCUUUUAUAAAGGAAUAAAGUCGGGUAUGGAUACCCGUUUGCAUGUACUUUAUGAAUAAGGAUCGGCUAACUCCGUGCCAGCAGCCGCGGUAAUACGGAGGAUCCGAGCGUUAUCCGGAUUUAUUGGGUUUAAAGGGAGCGUAGAUGGAUGUUUAAGUCAGUUGUGAAAGUUUGCGGCUCAACCGUAAAAUUGCAGUUGAUACUGGAUAUCUUGAGUGCAGUUGAGGCAGGCGGAAUUCGUGGUGUAGCGGUGAAAUGCUUAGAUAUCACGAAGAACUCCGAUUGCGAAGGCAGCCUGCUAAGCUGCAACUGACAUUGAGGCUCGAAAGUGUGGGUAUCAAACAGGAUUAGAUACCCUGGUAGUCCACACGGUAAACGAUGAAUACUCGCUGUUUGCGAUAUACAGCAAGCGGCCAAGCGAAAGCGUUAAGUAUUCCACCUGGGGAGUACGCCGGCAACGGUGAAACUCAAAGGAAUUGACGGGGGCCCGCACAAGCGGAGGAACAUGUGGUUUAAUUCGAUGAUACGCGAGGAACCUUACCCGGGCUUAAAUUGCAGAUGAAUUACGGUGAAAGCCGUAAGCCGCAAGGCAUCUGUGAAGGUGCUGCAUGGUUGUCGUCAGCUCGUGCCGUGAGGUGUCGGCUUAAGUGCCAUAACGAGCGCAACCCUUGUUGUCAGUUACUAACAGGUUCCGCUGAGGACUCUGACAAGACUGCCAUCGUAAGAUGUGAGGAAGGUGGGGAUGACGUCAAAUCAGCACGGCCCUUACGUCCGGGGCUACACACGUGUUACAAUGGGGGGUACAGAGGGCCGCUACCACGCGAGUGGAUGCCAAUCCCCAAAACCUCUCUCAGUUCGGACUGGAGUCUGCAACCCGACUCCACGAAGCUGGAUUCGCUAGUAAUCGCGCAUCAGCCACGGCGCGGUGAAUACGUUCCCGGGCCUUGUACACACCGCCC